rnacentral:misc_RNA from 1 species
AAGUCGUAACAAGGUUUCCGUAGGUGAACCUGCGGAAGGAUCAUUCAUAAUAAAAGUGUUUUAUGGCACUUUUAAAACAAUCCAUAUCCACCUUGUGUGCAAUGUUUUUUCAUUAUCAACUCUUUAAUUUUAAUUAUUUUGUCUGAAAUAUAUUAUGAAUAACUUAAUUCAAAAAAUAUAACUUUCAACAACGGAUCUCUUGGCUCUC